rnacentral:rRNA from 1 species
AACUCCGGUUGAUCCUGCCGGCGGUCACUGCUAUCGAGUUCCGACUAAGCCAUGCGAGUCACAGGCCGAAAGGUACUGGCUUACGGCUCAGUAACACGCGGAUAAUCCACCCUCAGGUGGGGCAUAACCUUGGGAAACUGAGGCUAAUUCCCCAUAGAACCUGCAAACUGGAAUGUUGUAGGUUUGAAAGUUACGACGCCUGAGGACGAGUCUGCGGCCUAUCAGGUUGUAGGUGGGGUAAAGGCCCACAUAGCCUAAGACGGGUACGGGCCCUGAGAGGGGUAGCCCGGAGAUGGGUUCUGAGACACGAACCCAGGCCCUACGGGGCGCAGCAGGCGCGAAACCUUCGCA